rnacentral:rRNA from 1 species
AGUUCGAUUCUGGCUCAGAUUGAACGCUGGCGGGAUGCUUUACACAUGCAAGUCGAACGGCAGCACGGACUUCGGUCUGGUGGCGAGUGGCGAACGGGUGAGUAAUGUAUCGGAACGUGCCUAGUAGCGGGGAUAACUACGCGAAGAGUGUAGCUAAUACCGCACAACGCCCUUCGGGGAAAGCGGGGACCUUCGGGCCUCGCACUAUUAGAGCGGCCGAUAUCGGAUUAGCUUAGUUGGUGGGGUAACGGCUCACCAAGGCGACGAUCCGUAGCUGGUUUGAGAGGACCACGGUCACCGACUGAGACACGGCCCAGACUCCUACGGGAGGCAGCAGUGGGGAAUUUUGGACAAUGGGGGAAACCCUGAUCCAGCCAUCCCGCGUGUGCGAUGAAGGCCUUCGGGUUGUGUGCUACUUUUGGCAGGAAAGAAACGGCACGGGAUAAUACCCCGUGCAACUGACGGUACCUGCAGAAUAAGCACCGGCUAGCUACGUGCCAGCAGCCGCGGUAAUACGUAGGGGUGCAAGCGUUAAUCGGAAUUCAUUGGGCGUAAAGCGUGCGCAGGCGGUUCGGAAAGAAAGAUGUGAAAUCCCAGAGCUAACUUUUGAACUGCAUUUUUAACUACUGAGCUAGAGUGCGUUGUAGAGGGAGGUGGAAUUCGCGUGUAGCAGUGAAAUGCGUAGAUAUGCGGAGGAACACCGAUGGCGAAGGCAGCCUCCUGGGAUAACACUGACGCUCAUGCACGAAAGCGUGGGAGCAAACAGGAUUAGAUACCCUGGUAGUCCACGCCCUAAACGAUGUCAACUAGCUGUUGGGGCCUUCGGGCCUUGGUAGCGCAGCUAACGCGUGAAGUUGACCGCCUGGGGAGUACGGUCGCAAGAUUAAAACUCAAAGGAAUUCGACGGGACCCGCACAAGCGGUGGAUGAUGUGAUUAAUUCGAUGCAACGCGAAAAACCUUACCUACCCUUGACAUGUCUGAAUCCCGAAGAGAUCGGGAGUGCUCGCAAGAGAACCGGAACACAGGUGCUGCAUGGCUGUCGUCAGCUCGUGUCGUGAGAUGUUGGGUUAAGUCCCGCAACGAGCGCAACCCUUGUCAUUAGUUGCUACGAAAGGGCACUCCACGUGAGACUGCCGGUGACAAACCGGAGGAAGGUGGGGAUGACGUCAAGUCCUCAUGGCCCUUGCAGGGUAGGGCUUCACACGUCAUACAAUGGUCGGGACAGGGUCGCCAACCCGCGAGGGGGAGCCAAUCCCAGAAACCCGAUCGUAGUCCGGAUCGCAGUCUGCAACUCGACUGCGUGAAGUCGGAAUCGCUAGUAAUCGCGGAUCAGCAUGUCGCGGUGAAUACGUUCCCGGGUCUUGUACACACCGCCCGUCACACCAUGGGAGUGGGUUUUACCAGAAGUAGUUAGCCUAACCGUAAGGAGGGCGAUUACCACGGUAGGAUUCAUGACUGGGGUGAAGUCGUAACAAGGUAA